rnacentral:misc_RNA from 1 species
CCUUCCUUCCUUCCUUCCUUCCUACCUUCCUGUUCUCACAACUAACAGUCAAAUCCCUUUCCAAUAAGCAAGAACCCUUGCAACUAUUCCUUCCUUUCUUCUUAAGUUUUCGUUUUUGCUUCCCUCUAUAAAAAAACCAAUAUCCCCCAGUCCUAAUCCUAUCGGUACCAAAAUGACUCCUGAAAUAUGGGUUAUUCCAUUUUUUGGGCAGGGUCAUCUUCUGCCAAGCAUGGAACUCUGCAAGCUCAUUGCAUCCAGAAAUUUGAAAACCACACUUAUCAUUUCCUCUGAUCUCUCAUCCAGCAUUCCCUCCUCUUUCUCUCAAUAUCCACUCCUCCAGGUAGCCCAAUUACCCUCCUCUCCACCUCCUCCUCCUCCGCCGCCUCAGCCCUCAUCUGACCCCUUUCAACAUCACAUUAACCAUCAUUCUCAGAUGGCCCAAGCUAUUGAAAAUCUCAUCUCUAUCCGAUCCCAAAACCCAGAUUCUGGUUUACUAAUUUGUGCUGUGGUUGAUGUUAUGAUGAGUUGGACUGGUGAAAUCUUCAACAAUUUUGAGAUUCCAACAGUUGGAUUCUUCACAUCUGGAGCUUGCUCGGCUGCCAUGGAGUAUGCCAUGUGGAAGAAUCACCCUGAAGAUCUGAAAACUGGAGAGAUCCGUUUGCUUCCUGGAUUACCGGAAGAUAUGGCUCUUACGGAGUUAGACCUUAAAACAAGACCUCAUCGACCUCCUAGUCCUUCUCCAUCUGCAAUAGGUGGUGCACCACUACGUCCACCUGGCGCACCCGGUGGCUUUCCAAUACCACCAGGUGGUAUUGGGCCACGAAAAUUUGGUCCACCGAAGCCUGGCGAUCAGCCACCAUGGUUAGAGGAAACUCAGGGAUCAAUUGCGUUGAUGAUCAAUACCUGCAAUAUUCUUGAGCUUCCUUUCAUCGAGUAUCUGGCUAAUCAAAUUGGAAAACCGGUUUGGGGUGUAGGUCCGCUUUUGCCCGAUCAGUACUGGAAAUCAGCCGGUUCAAUCAUUCAUGAUCAUCAAUUCCGAGCCAACCGGCGGUCCAAUUUCACUGAAGACGAGGUAAUCACUUGGUUAUACUCGAAGCCACGUGGGUCAGUGUUAUACGUUUCAUUUGGCACUGAAGUGGGUCCUACAAUAGAAGAAUAUCAACAAAUAGCUCUUGCAUUGGAAAAAUCAAAUCGGUCAUUUAUCUGGGCGAUCCAACUCAGUUCAGGUCGACGGGGCCCACCAAGACCGGCCGGUCAAGCAGAAGCUGAAGAAUGUUAUUUCCCUCAUGGGUUGGAUGAACGAGUUGGGGAGAGAGGUUUGAUAAUACAUGGAUGGGCACCACAAUUGUUGAUACUGAGCCAUCCAUCAACCGGUGGGUUUUUAUCGCACUGUGGGUGGAAUUCAACCACAGAAGCAAUUGGUCGUGGGAUGCCAAUUUUGGCAUGGCCAAUAAGAGGAGACCAAUUCUAUAAUGCCCAAUUGAUAGUGAAACAUUUAAAAGUUGGAUACAUGAUUUGUGAUGAUAUGUCAACAAUGGUUAAAGCGGAUGUCAUAAUCAACGGAAUGGAGAGGCUGUUAGGAGAUGAAGAUGUCAAAAAACGAGCAGCAUUUCUUGGUGCUCAAUUUCAGAAUGGGUUUCCACUGAGUUCAAUCGACUCUUUGGAUGCCUUCAGCGUUUUUAUUAACCAUAAGACAUAUCUGGUAUAGUUAAGUUUGAUCAAGUGCUAUUACAGCUGUUUUUGAUGUUAUAGUGUUAAUUUUAAAUUUAAAUUUCGCGAAA